rnacentral:rRNA from 1 species
ACAUCUCAUCAGCUAGCCCAACACAUUAAUCAACAAACCCUAUUCAUAAAACACAAUGACCUACCCCUCACAAACAAAUCAUUUUUACCCCAAGUAUGGGCGACA